rnacentral:rRNA from 1 species
UACGAGGGGGGCAAGUGUUGUCCGGAAUCACUGGGCGUAAAGGGCGCGUAGGCGGCUUGAUAAGGUUGCGGUGAAAGCCCGGGGCUCAACCCCGGGUCGGCCGUGGCAACUGUCGAGCUGGGGCACUGUAGAGGCAGGUGGAAUUCCGGGUGUAGCGGUGGAAUGCGUAGAGAUCCGGAAGAACACCGGUGGCGAAGGCGGCCUGCUGGGCAGUGGCUGACGCUGAGGCGCGACAGCGUGGGGAGCGAACAGG